rnacentral:rRNA from 2 species
UGCAGUCGAGCGGUAAGGCCCUUCGGGGUACACGAGCGGCGAACGGGUGAGUAACACGUGGGUGAUCUACCCUGUACUUCGGGAUAAGCCUGGGAAACUGGGUCUAAUACCGGAUAUGACCUUCCGAUGCAUGUCGGUGGGUGGAAAGAUUUAUCGGUACAGGAUGGGCCCGCGGCCUAUCAGCUUGUUGGUGGGGUAAUGGCCUACCAAGGCGACGACGGGUAGCCGGCCUGAGAGGGCGACCGGCCACACUGGGACUGAGACACGGCCCAGACUCCUACGGGAGGCAGCAGUGGGGAAUAUUGCACAAUGGGCGAAAGCCUGAUGCAGCGACGCCGCGUGAGGGAUGACGGCCUUCGGGUUGUAAACCUCUUUCGACAGGGACGAAGCGCAAGUGACGGUACCUGUAGAAGAAGCACCGGCCAACUACGUGCCAGCAGCCGCGGUAAUACGUAGGGUGCGAGCGUUGUCCGGAAUUACUGGGCGUAAAGAGCUUGUAGGCGGUUUGUCGCGUCGUCCGUGAAAACUUGGGGCUCAACCCCAAGCUUGCGGGCGAUACGGGCAGACUUGAGUACUGCAGGGGAGACUGGAAUUCCUGGUGUAGCGGUGAAAUGCGCAGAUAUCAGGAGGAACACCGGUGGCGAAGGCGGGUCUCUGGGCAGUAACUGACGCUGAGAAGCGAAAGCGUGGGUAGCG